ACAGGGCAGAGCUCAACUGAAAGACGCUGGUGACAAAGACUUUGCAAAAACAAACCAAAGCUCACCAGGCCCUCCUCUCCUCCAGCGACUCACCCAGGGAAGCAGCAGUGUUCCCCUCAGAACAUGCACCCACAGAGAAGGACGUCUCAGACUGUGUCACAUCCCUCCCUCUCGGGUGUGGCUAUAAUGACCUGUGCUGCCUCAUCCUGGACCCUGGACAGAUGCACAUGAAGAUGUGCACAGAAUGCAUGGGUAGUGGGCAGUGUACUGUGCUCUCUAUUUGCUUUAGAUUAUUGACACCACAUAACCAACCUUCCUGUGAAGUCAAGAUAUCAUCCCCACUUUACAGACAAGGAAGCUGAGGCUCAGAGGAGUGAAACCCAAAAGAGGGGACACGGGUUCGAUCCCUGGUCCUGGAAGAUCCCACAUGCUGCGGAGCAACUAAGCCCA